CUGGUGCGGGAUCGAUUUCUCCCAAUCUAGACCUCCGAUUGACGAUCCGAACAGUCAGAAUGAAGAACCAUAUGUCUGGAACCUACUGUCCAAAAAUCAGCUCGAUCCAACGGUUAACGACUUCACAACGACGAAAACACCAGUGCAGGUUUAGGCUUAUGCGGGAAUGGCUUUCUCUCUUUCUUUUUCUCUCACUUGGCUUUUGCCUCUCUUCAAAAUGACUCUCUUGUGCUCUAUUAAUCUGACCCAUCUCAUUUUGACCUAAUGAGACAUAACGGACCACAAUAUUUGGGCCUAUUCUCCACAUAGGAAGGGAGCCCAAUAACCCAACAUGAAUAUGUUGUUGGGGUUAGAUUUCACCAAUUUCC
rnacentral:lncRNA from 1 species